CAAAUUACCCACUCCCAGUACGGGAAGGUGGUGACGAAAAAUACCGAUGCGGGACUCCUUUAANAGGCUCCGUAAUCGGAAUGAGUGAACUCUAAAUCCUUUCACGAGGAUCAAUUGAGGCAAGUCUGGUGCCAGCACCCGCGGUAACUCCAGCUCCAAUAGCGUAUAUUAAAGUUGCUGCAGUUAAAAAGCUCGUAGUUGGAUCUCGGUACUACUGGAGCCUGCCUGGAAGACCGGCGCUAAGGUGGCUUCUGCUUGCCUAUGCAACGGGAAGAAGGGUAGGGCCUCUGGUGUCACCUUUCAGCCAUGUCUGUGGUGAAAUACCCGCAGGUGUAGGCGAGUGUCAGGCGGUGCUUUGCGACAGUAAGGCCCGUCGGCUCGUUUGCAUGCCUUUGGAUGCCCUUCAAAAGGUGUCUGUGGGCGGAUGGCACGUUUACUUUGAACAAAUUUGAGUGCUCAAACCAGGCCGAUGUUGCCUGAAAAGUUUUGCAUGGAAUAAUGGAAUAGGACUUCGGUUCUAUUUCGUUGGUUUUCGGAUCCGAAGUAAUGAUCAAAAGAGACAGGCGGGGACGUUUGUAUUGGA
rnacentral:rRNA from 1 species